CAUGCAAGUCGAACGGUAACAUAGGCACCAAUCCCGCAAGGGUGAGGAGCCUGAUGACGAGUGGCGGACGGGUGAGUAAUGCAUGGGAAUUUUCCAUUGAGUGGGGAAAAACUUGGAGAAAUCCAAGCUAAUACCGCAUAAUCUCUUCGGAGGAAAGGGGGCCUCUUCUUGAAAGCUCUCGCUCAAUGAUGAGCCCAUGUCCGAUUAGCUUGUUGGUAGGGUAAAGGCCUACCAAGGCUACGAUCGGUAGCUGGUUUGAGAGGAUGAUCAGCCACACUGGGACUGAGACACGGCCCAGACUCCUACGGGAGGCAGCAGUAGGGAAUCUUGGACAAUGGGGGAAACCCUGAUCCAGCAAUGCCGCGUGUGUGAAGAAGGUCCGAGGAUUGUAAAGCACUUUCAGCAAAGAAGAAACCAAUGGAGUUAAUAUCUCCAUAUAUGACGUUAUUUGAAGAAGAAGCACCGGCUAAUUCCGUGCCAGCAGCCGCGGUAAUACGGAAGGUGCGAGCGUUAAUCGGAGUUACUGGGCUUAAAGGGUGCGUAGGUUGUAUGGAAAGUCAGAUGUGAAAUCCUCAAGCUUAACUUGAGAACUGCAUUUGA
rnacentral:rRNA from 1 species